ensembl:snRNA U6 U6 spliceosomal RNA
GUGCUCACUUCGGCAGCACAUAUCCUAAAAUUGAAAUGAUACAGAGAAGAUUAGCAUGGCCCCUGCGUAAGGAUGACCUGCAAAUCCAUGAAGCAUUCCAUACUUUU